GGGUGAUUAGCUCAGCUGGGAGAGCACCUCCCUUACAAGGAGGGGGUCGGG
rnacentral:tRNA from 1 species